rnacentral:rRNA from 1 species
CCUACGGGAGGCAGCAGUGGGGAAUAUUGCACAAUGGGGGAAACCCUGAUGCAGCGACGCCGCGUGGGUGACGAAGUAUUUCGGUAUGUAAAGCCCUAUCAGCAGGGAAGAAGAUGACAGUACCUGACUAAGAAGCCCCGGCUAACUACGUGCCAGCAGCCGCGGUAAUACGUAGGGGGCAAGCGUUAUCCGGAUUUACUGGGUUUAAAGGGUGCGCAGGCGGAUUUUUAAGUCAGCGGUCAAAUCGUGGGGCUCAACCCCAUCCAACCGUUGAAACUGGGGAUCUAGAGUGUGCGAGAGGUAUGCGGAAUGCGUGGUGUAGCGGUGAAAUGCAUAGAUAGAACGCAGAACCCCGAUUGCGAAGGCAGCAUACCGGUGUACAACUGACGCUCAGGCACGAAAGCGUGGGUAUCGAACAGGAUUAGAUACCCUUGUAGUC